rnacentral:rRNA from 1 species
AAGCGGCAACAGCUCAAAUUUGAAAUCUGGCUCUCGGGCCCGAGUUGUAAUUUGUAGAGGAUACUUUUGAUGCGGUGCCUUCCGAGUUCCCUGGAACGGGACGCCAUAGAGGGUGAGAGCCCCGUCUGGUUGGAUGCCAAAUCUCUGUAAAGUUCCUUCAACGAGUCGAGUAGUUUGGGAAUGCUGCUCUAAAUGGGAGGUAUAUGUCUUCUAAAGCUAAAUACCGGCCAGAGACCGAUAGCGCACAAGUAGAGUGAUCGAAAGAUGAAAAGCACUUUGAAAAGAGAGUUAAAAAGUACGUGAAAUUGUUGAAAGGGAAGCGUUUAUGACCAGACUUGGACUUGGUUAAUCAUCUGGGGUUCUCCCCAGUGCACUUUUCCAGUCCAGGCCAGCAUCAGUUUUCCCCGGGGGAUAAAGGCGGCGGGAAUGUGGCUCUCUUCGGGGAGUGUUAUAGCCCACCGUGUAAUACCCUGGGGGGGACUGAGGUUCGCGCAUCUGCAAGGAUGCUGGCGUAAUGGUCAUCAACGACCCG